GUUAUACAGGCAAAUCCGUAUAACAAUACUCCGAGAACUGAAAGGCUUUUUGAAGUCUUCGGAUGGAUAGAAGAACCCCUGAUGCCGUCGAGCCAAGAAAAGUUUCUAAGUUUAGCUAAUGUUGCCCGUACCGUAAACCGACACAGGUGGGUGGGAUGAGUAUUCUAAGGCGCGUGGAAGAACUCUCUUUAAGGAACUCUGCAAAAUAGCACCGUAUCUUCGGUAUAAGGUGUGGUUAGCUUUGUAUUAGGAUUUACUCCGAAAGCAAGGAAACUUACAACAAAGAGUCCCUCCCGACUGUUUACCAAAAACACAGCACUCUGCUAACUCGUAAGAGGAUGUAUAGGGUGUGACGCCUGCCCGGUGCUCGAAGGUUAAUUGAUGGGGUUAGCAUUAGCGAAGCUCUUGAUCGAAGCCCGAGUAAACGGCGGCCGUAACUAUAACGGUCCUAAGGUAGCGAAAUUCCUUGUCGGUUAAAUACCGACCUGCAUGAAUGGCGUAACGAGAUGGGAGCUGUCUCAAAGAGGGAUCCAGUGAAAUUGUAGUGGAGGUGAAAAUUCCUCCUACCCGCGGCAAGACGGAAAGACCCCGUGGACCUUUACUACAGCUUGACACUGCUACUUGGAUAAGAAUGUGCAGGAUAGGUGGGAGGCUUUGAGUAUAUGACGCCAGUUGUAUAUGAGCCAUUGUUGAGAUACCACUCUUUCUUAUUUGGGUAGCUAACCAGCUUGAGUUAUCCUCAAGUGGGACAAUGUCUGGUGGGUAGUUUGACUGGGGCGGUCGCCUCCCAAAUAAUAACGGAGGCUUACAAAGGUUGGCUCAGAACGGUUGGAAAUCGUUCGUAGAGUAUAAAGGUAUAAGCCAGCUUAACUGCAAGACAUACAAGUCAAGCAGAGACGAAAGUCGGUCUUAGUGAUCCGGUGGUUCUGUGUGGAAGGGCCAUCGCUCAAAGGAUAAAAGGUACCCCGGGGAUAACAGGCUGAUCUCCCCCAAGAGCUCACAUCGACGGGGAGGUUUGGCACCUCGAUGUCGGCUCAUCGCAUCCUGGGGCUGGAGCAGGUCCCAAGGGUAUGGCUGUUCGCCAUUUAAAGCGGUACGCGAGCUGGGUUCAGAACGUCGUGAGACAGUUCGGUCCCUAUCUGCCGUGGGCGUAAGAAGAUUGAAGAGAUUUGACCCUAGUACGAGAGGACCGGGUUGAACAAACCACUGGUGUAGCUGUUGUUCUGCCAAGAGCAUCGCAGCGUAGCUAAGUUUGGAAAGGAUAAACGCUGAAAGCAUCUAAGCGUGAAGCCAACUCUAAGAUGAAUCUUCUCUAAGCUCUCUAGAAGACUACUAGUUUGAUAGGCUGGGUGUGUAAUGGAUGAAAGUCCUUUAGCUGACCAGUACUAAUAGAGCGUUUGGCUUAUCUUUAAUAAAGCAU
rnacentral:rRNA from 1 species